UCAGAAAUAAUACCUCUACUGGACCCAAAAAUAAUGCAUAUAAUGUAGAGGCUCCUCCUAAGAAAAAUCAGAACCGACCCUUCCGUAAGAAUUUCAAGAAGAAACCCUACAACCCUAGAAACCCUAACCACUACUACAAUGGGAAGCCUAUUCAAUCCCAGGAGCAGAAGAAGAAGAAAGAGGAAGGUGGUGCUCAUUUCUGUUAUGUGUGUGGUCGGACCAACCAUUUGUCUCCCCAGUGCUUCUAUAAGAAAACUUCACCUCUUCAAUCUAAGAAGAAGGGUCCACACACAUCCAGUGCUCAAGUCAACAUGGUGACUUCCGGCGCUGGCUCCUCUGAGACAGCUUUCAGGUCUGUUUCCUUCACUCCUGAAGUUAACAUGACUUUACAAGCACUUGAUUGAUGGAUUGAUACCGGAGCUGGUAUUCAUAUUUGUUCGGAUCGCUCCUGGUUUUCUUCUUUCCAGAUCUCAAGUGGAGGAGCUGUGAUCAUGGCAAACAGCUCGGAGGCGCGUG
rnacentral:lncRNA from 1 species